rnacentral:lncRNA from 1 species
UUUUUUUCUUUAGUGCCUUAAAAAAGGAGCUUCUGCCAGAGUCUGCCACUAUUAUUUGGCUUCACUUUAUCUCCACAAGAUGGCCUAGGUCCUUAAACAACAACAGAUAUCUAAAUGUGGACUCUGGAUAAUGCAAAUCAUACCAUUUUGUUGUGAAGGUAACAUUUACUCGCUGCUUGUUAUGUAAUUAGUAUUAGAGUUGAGCCAUCCACCCAUGCUAAUUUA